GAUGAACGCUGGCGGCGUGCCUAAUACAUGCAAGUCGAGCGAACGGACGAGAAGCUUGCUUCUCUGAUGUUAGCGGCGGACGGGUGAGUAACACGUGGAUAACCUACCUAUAAGACUGGGAUAACUUCGGGAAACCGGAGCUAAUACCGGAUAAUAUUUUGAACCGCAUGGUUCAAAAGUGAAAGACGGUCUUGCUGUCACUUAUAGAUGGAUCCGCGCUGCAUUAGCUAGUUGGUAAGGUAACGGCCUACCAAGGCAACGAUGCAUAGCCGACCUGAGAGGGUGAUCGGCCACACUGGAACUGAGACACGGUCCAGACUCCUACGGGAGGCAGCAGUAGGGAAUCUUCCGCAAUGGGCGAAAGCCUGACGGAGCAACGCCGAGUGAGUGAUGAAGGUCUUCGGAUCGUAAAACUCUGUUAUUAGGGAAGAACAUAUGUGUAAGUAACUGUGCACAUCUUGACGGUACCUAAUCAGAAAGCCACGGCUAACUACGUG
rnacentral:rRNA from 1 species